UCAACCGAUCCAAACUGACAAUCUCCUUCCCCGUUAUCUUUUAGGUUAUCUGAAAAGAAGCGUCUACAGCGUUCCCAAGUAACCUGGUCUGGGGUCUCUCACAUCUUUAUCCAGGGUGCUCAUCUCUGUCUUUAAUCUGAGUCCCCUCUUCUCUUGUCUUAUCAUCAGCACAUGAGCUCGAGGCUCCAGUUAUAAUUUCAGUGGAAGAAGGGGGAUGCGGAAACUGCUGGGGCGUCUGAAUUCUGCCAGGUUUCCCUACCAGCGUGGUCUAGAACCACAUAAAGGUGGCUGAUGAAGGGACACGACGCGUCAAAAAGAAAACGCGUAUCAAGGAGACUGCGAAAUGGAUUCCUUCUCACUAAGGUGUAAGCACAGGAGACCACGGAGUCUAUCGUUACCUGAAACUGUGGUCUAGCCAAGGAGAACGCAAGGCACCACGUCAAGUAGUGGAAACCGUAGCAAUGUUAUGCUGAAGUUUUGCAAUAGUCUUCUCCUCUUGGUCACUUUUGUCUAAAUAAACUAAAAACCGUGUCAGAUAGACUCAGCCCUUGCUGGGAACUCAUUUCUCCAUCCGCUCUUCUUCCUCCUCAGUAGCGCAUGUGACUGUAUGACAGAGAAAUCCUUGCUUUCGAAAACAGUGCCCUGAGAACCGAGGAUACAGGUCCCGCUUGCUCAAGAGCCUGACCUCAGUCCUCAGAGCUGCAACCCCAAAUGACUCAGACCACUGAGCUGGUGAGUGGGAGGUUUUAAAGCUACGUUUCAAGAGCUAGUCACAGGCAGAGCACACGUUGAAAGCCACGUCACUAACUUAGCAGCAAUUAGGUUUUUCUUUUCAUCUCCCCAUUUUUUCAGCCAGGUGUAAGGACUGAGACUAGAGCAAAUAAUUUUUAUAGCGACGAGAGCAGAGGGAAACAAGCAACGCACAGAGUGUUAACCCAAGGGCCCAAGGCUGAGUAAGACGCAGUGGGACAUCCUCGUCGAGGUGAGCUGGAUAAGAACACACACGAGUAAACGAGUAAAGGAUGAGCCGUGUGUGUGUGCAACCCCUGCGUCAAGUGGUUUCUCAGGAAGGAUGAAGAAAGGAAAUUGAACUGAGCCAACAUGUUGACACUUUAUCUCACCGGACAGCUUAAACAAACACGCUAGUUCCAACAUCUCUUUGGGUUGCCUGUGCAGCAACCACACGUACUUUGCACAAGUCUAGAAACGGGAGCCAGAGUUUCUGGCUGUUGCUUAAACUUGUAACCUUUCCAAGCUUACCUCAGGGCAAGGUAUCUACUGAGCAGACCGGCGGUGAAAUUUCCCAAGGAAGCCUUUGGCUCGAACAACAAACGGGGCCACCCCAGAGGUUGGUUCGAGGUGCGAAUGCCGCGCUAGCCUUGAGCUGGGGGUGGAGGGGGACCUUCAGCACUCUGCACUCCACGGUGCCCGCCGAUUAAGGAAGAACACCAAAGGAGACCAAAGCUGUAGGCUGGUCCAACUUGGGUCCGAGGCCAUUUUGGACUGACACGACUGGAAGGAGGAUAGAGACCGGUUACUUAGGCUGUUUCAGGGACCUACACUUGGGCAGGCUUGGAAAUUCAGUUUUCUCAAGGCACAUACACCGAUGUGGGCCAUCAUCAACUUCUUGGAUGUUGUCCUUUUGCCUUUCAGACGGUCCCCACCCCCUUUUCGCCCUGUCAUGUGGUCCCACAUGCUGGCAGAUUCAACAGAAUCCUUGACCCUCUGGCUUUGGGUUGGCUUUGAGGCACUGAAAGGAGAUCACAGUGUAGCAAAGAAAGGCAGUCGGGGGGGGGGGGGGUUAUUCCCCUCAGUCUCUUACUUUCCAGGUGGCUGUGGGUUAGCCACGUUGCUCUGAUGAAGGCCCAGCGUGGGUGGGCAGUCCUUUUCCACACAGCUCCCCUCCCUCGUUCCAGGAACUGCUUCUUUAUGUACCUUCAAGGGGACAAGAGGAGGUCUAAGGGUUUCCUGCUGUGAUUAAUGCAGGACACUGCACUCUUCCUUGCAGAUUUUCCACACUUUGUAAAUCGUAGCUUUAUCAAACUCUCCUUAAAAUAUCUCAGAACACUUGUGAUCUCCCAUCAACCUGACUUUCAAUCAACAUCCGUCAACUGACAGCAUGGAAAUUAAGAUGAGAAUAACUGUCCCUAAAGGAAGUUGAUAUGCUGCCUAUGGUUUUAUCCUCUGGCUUUAUUAGCUUGGAUAGUUGCAAAGACAACUUUCGAAAGCUCUUAAUUUUAUCCUGUGUGCCUUGCCUCCAAUUUGAAUAAGCUGCCUUCAGACAGAUGAUGGUAUUGGGUAAUAAUCUUGUUAAAUAUGUAUAGGUAUUGGAUAUGCCUGCUUUUGUUUUACUCUGUGAGAAUAUAAAACUAUAUUAGAACAGUAAGAUAGUGAGAGUAACUAAAUAUUGAUAGGCUAUAGUACAGUGAUUCCAAGUACAGGUUUUAAAGGCAGGCGGAUAGGGAUUCGAGUAUACCACCCUUGGCUGUGUGGCCUUUGGAAAGCUACCUAACUUCUCUUGUUUGUUUGCUUGUUUUUUCAUUCAUAAAAUAGUCAUAGUAACUGUACCUGCUUUUUAUGUUUGUCGUGAAGAUUGAAUGAAAUAUUGGACAUAAAAUAAAGGUACAGUGAGCACUUAAAAAUGGUAGAUAUAUAUUUUUUAAGUUUAUUUAUUUAUUUUUAGAGAGAGAGAGAGCAUGAGUGGAGGAGGGGCAGGGAGAGAGAAAGAGAGAAUCUCAAGCAGGCUUGACAUGGGGCACAGAGCCUGACAUGGGCCUCGAUCUCAACGAACCGUGAGAUCGUGACCUGAGUCAAAUCAGGAGUCGGAUGCUUCACCGACUGAGCCACCCAGGAGCCCCCCAAAUGGUAGAUAUUAUUACCAGUGGUAAAAUCCUGUUAAAUUAUUUUCAAGUAUAUCAUUAUUUUAUCUCAUUGGGUUGUUAUAAAGGUGAAAUGAGCUAAUAUCUUUUAAGUGCUUAGAAGGGUACCUGGCACAUAGCUAAAAGUGACAGGAGUGUUAAUUAAUACUUAAAUAAUACUUAAGUGUAAACACCUAGGUAUAAUUUGAUUCCUUUCUCUCUGCCUUUUAAUUAUUCUCAAUCUCUCAAACUACUUUUGGAUUUCCCUCCAGGCUUAAAUAGAAAAUAACCUUCUAACGUUACCCUGAAAUUUCUCUUAUAGUCAAAAACCUUCCUGAGCACAUGAUUUCUUUUUUUUUUUUUAAGUUUAUUUAUUUACCUUGAGAGCAAGAGAGUAUGUGCACACACAUGAAUGGGAGAGAGAGACAGAGACAGAGAGAGAGAGAGAGAAUAUCCCAGGCAGGAUCUGAACUGUCAGAGCCGGAUGCGGGGCUGGAACUCAUGAACAGUGAGAGCAUGACCCGAGCUGAAAUCAAGAGACGGAUGCUUAAUGUACUCAACCACCCAGGCAUCCCUGAAGUUCUGAUUUCUAAGCUUCGGGUCUGCUUAGGAUCAGAAGUGAUUUCAAGCCAAAUUUUGAAUAUUUCAUUCCUCACACUCCUGAAUGAGAUCUUAGCUAUCUUUUCGCCAUGGACUGGCUGGAUCAAGGUGGCAGGGGGGUAGGGGUGGGGUGCUGUUCCUAUGACUCCCUCCUCCCGUUUGUUUAAUUUCCUGGGACAGCUCACAGAACGCAGGAAAACAGUUUACUUGCUAGAUUAUUGGUUUCUUCGAAGGAUAUCGAAGGAUACAAAUGAACUACCAGAUGGAGAUACAUAGGGUAAGAUCUGGAAGGGAGGGAUCUGAGCACAGGAGCUUCUGUCCCCGUGGAGUUUGGGAUGCACCACCAUCCCAGAAUAUAGAUGGGUUCUUGUUCACCAACACAGAAGCUCUCCAAACCCCAUCCUUUUGGGGUUUUGUGGAGGUUUCAUUAGCUCAAAUCAUUAGCUGUUGGUAUUCAGCCUCUAACCCUUCUCUCUUCUCCGGAGGUCAGGGGGUUGGGGCUGAAAGUUCCAACCCCCUAAUGACCGUGGUUGCUUCUCCUGGCAACCAGCCCAAAUCCUUAGGGGCUUUCCAAAAUCACCUCAUUAACAUAAACUCAGGUAUGGUUUAAAGGAGCUUGUUCGGAAUACAAAACACACCUUGGCCUCUCGUAUUGCUUAUGAAAUCCCAAGGGUUUUAGGAGCUCUAGAAGCCAGAAAUGUGGAUGAACACCAAAUGUACAUUUCUUAUAAUAAAUCACAGUAUUACAUUCCUCUAAGCCAGAAGGCCGAGAGGUGACCUGAGUUCGACCCCAGCCGGGUCUUGGGGUUCAAAUGACGGUUGUCACCACCUCUUACUUCUGCAGGCAGCUAGUUCUGUUGACUCCGGACAGAUUUUCUCCAGGUGACAACGAAGGUGAUCUCUGGUUCUCCCUGGUUUAUAUCCUCCUUAGAGGUAAAGAGAAGAGAGAAAAACCUUCCCUCCCUAGCAUAUCAUUCAGUCCAUAUAUGGACCGUAGUGGUCCAUAUAUGGACCGAAGAGGACCGUAGUGAGGUCACAUGCCCGUCGUCUAUAUCCAGGAUUGUUUAGCUGUAGAGCGAUGUGCCCACCAUAGUCCCAUGGUGUGGAAAGAGCCCUUUUCAGAAGGAAGGCUGGGAGAACAGCGAUCCACAACAGCCUCCAACUCCAGUUGGCUGGGACAUUUUUUCUAAAAUCUCCAAAUGCAAAGCUGUUUUAACACUCACGGAGCUCAGUCUAUAUUUGGUUUGGGAAGAGGAGCACUGUGGGUUUGAUGACCUCGAAGGCAGGUCAGAGGUCAUCCCUGCCUGCCCGGUCACUCUCAGAACUUUUUGUACUUCCUGGUGGACCACUGGUUGAUGGUGAUAAUCUACUUAGCGAUUACAGUCUGGAUGUAAAACAAUGAAACGGUCAUUCCGUUGCACUGCCUCCCCAAUUUACCCUCCUACCUCCACAGAUAGUAGCUAAAGACGCACCUGUGAGACAGAAAAAGAAAGGGUCUUGGCACAGAAUAGGUCACGAGCAACAGUCACGUUUAUCUUUUCAUACUCUCAGUUCCCCAAUCUGCUUUUUCUUUCCGUUGGGGUAGAACCAAAAAGACAGAAUGAGAAGACGUCCCCAACAUCUAUUCAUCACUCCUCUGUGACAACUCCGCGAUGCCUCCUUAGUUUUCAGUGAGGGGGCUUUUCUGACAGCUGGCUUUUAUAAUUCCUUCACUAGAUAGUUUCAAUUUAACGAUCAAUUUUUAAAAAUAACUUUUGUAGGCACCCUGACAUUUCAGCCAUUUAAGCAGAACAUAAUAGAGUUUUCCAAAGAAAUAAAUGGUGAUUUCUUUAUACAGCUUCUCCCAUUCAAACACAUUCGCAAGUACGGUCCACCUGAAAAGCUACAACUAACCAUCUUAGACAUGAGGUUCUCAUUUUCCUAUUCCCAGAAUCCCUGCCCCCCUUUAUCAAUACUCUUUCAAAACCUCAUACAAAUGAUUCCCUCCAGAAAGUCUUCCUUGAUUCAUCACUGCCAGAUCUAAUUACAUAUUUUUUUCAUCAUCUAAAUAUUCAUUAUAGGUAUAGUUCUAAUUAGAUUCACCUUCCCUUGUUUGUCUAUGGAUUUAAAGUUUCAAGAGUCUUGGGUUGUGAGUAUAGAUAGGUUCCACUUCUCCAAGUAGGUGACAAUUCAUGGGCAGAGGUUUUCUCUUCUGUGUCCAUAUAACCAUCCUUUCCCAUCCCCCUGAUCCACAGGACUGCUUUAAGCAAAGACAACGGAGGAACUUAUGUGUAGCAAAUGAUCCUGGACUCCGCAAAAUGCCAGAGCAGAGGGGAGAUUCUAGCUCUGUUAUAUACUAGCUGUAUGGGGGAAAAGAUCAAUAUGUAAAAGCUUAAUUUUCUUACGUGAAAAAGUGAUAAUAAAUUCUUGAGGGUUUCUAAAAAGUGAUAAUUAAAUAAGUUACGUAUUCAAAAACAUUUAAGGAUGCUUGAGGAUCCUUUAAGAAGUAUUUGUUUCCUUAGUGAUAUGAUUGAAGAAGGUACUGAGUCUAUGAAAUAACUUUCUCAUUUGUUGUUGAUACUUGAAAUGCUUUUCUAGAAGACCAAAUCCUUUCUGCCAAAUUAGAAAUAAGAAUAAAGGGGCGCCUGGGUGGCUCAGCUGGUGAAGCAUCUGACUUUGGCUCAGGUCAUGAUCUCACAGUUUGUGAGCUCGAGCCCUGUUUUGAGUGAGCACAAGCCGCUCUUUGGGCGAGCCCCGCUUCUCUCUCUCUCUCUCCCUCUCUCCCUCUGCCCCUCGUUCACAUGUGCCCUCUCUCGAAAGAAAGAAAGAAAGAAAGAAAGAGAGAGAGAAAGAAAGAAUAAAAUUGCAAAUGAUCUUGGAGCAAGUAAGAAUAAACUUAAGUAUGUGAUAAAUACAUGACCACAUAUCCUGUCUGCUCCUUCCCUUACCCGGGCUUCACAUCAUGAACUGGUCAAAGUAGAAUGUCUCGCUUAGCCUGUGGUACACCUCAGAAUUCUCCACACAGGACUCUAGGCAGACACUAGCAAUUGAUUGGAGUUUGUCCCCUCAUGCUAACACAUACAUCAUUGACACUGGCUACUUUCAGAAGGGCAGAAUUUGAUAUCAGGAAGAGGGUAAAGGAACACUCACUGCUGGAUGGAGACAUUAAGAAAGGGCACCCAGAGAGGAAAAAGGUGCAAGUUCUCUGGCCUGAUACACUCUCUAAAAUGUUACCCUUAUCCAGAGAGGUAAUUCCCAGGGUCCAGCUGAAAGGACAGCCCCAUGGACUAUUAAAUAAAAUAAUGAGUAAUCGUAAAGUACUUGAAGUAACAAGACGGUAUGAUAGAAUAUAGCAUGAGGAGACCUACCGGGUCUGUGGAAUGCCUCUCUAAGGAGGUGACAUUGGACUGACGUCUAAAGAA